rnacentral:rRNA from 1 species
UAAUACGAGGGGUGCAAGCGUUGCUCGGAAUUAUUGGGCGUAAAGGGCAAGUAGGUGGUCUCAUUUGUCUGGGGUGAAAGCCUUGAGCUUAACUCAAGAAGUGCCCCGGAAACGGUGAGACUCGAGUACUGGAGAGGGUCGUGGAAUUCCCGGUGUAGCGGUGAAAUGCGUAGAGAUCGGGAGGAACACCAGAGGCGAAGGCGGCGACCUGGACAGUCACUGACACUCAACUGCGAAAGCGUGGGGAGCAAACAGGAUUAGAUACCCUGGUAGUCCACGCUGUAAACGAUGGGAACUAGGUUUUGCGGGUCUUGACCCCUGCAGAACCGGAGCUAACGCAAUAAGUUCCCCGCCUGGGAAGUACGGUCGCAAGACUA